AACUUCUCUUUGCCUCUUGGCUUAGAUCAAGUGUAGUAUCUGUUCUUAUCAGUUUAAUCGCUGACAUGUCUACCCCCCAGUAGACUUCAAUGAUUACUCUAAUAUUUGAAACUCGGGACUGGCCUCUGUGCUUGCGCAUGCCAGUCCCACAGUGUCGCUGGGCUUACACUACCCCCGGCUGACGCGACACUUU
rnacentral:snRNA from 1 species